AGCAACUGACAAAGAUACUACAGCUAAAGGCUUUUUGAGAAGAACCAGCCAACAUGAAGACAGUUCUGUCCGUCGCUUUCCUCGUCGUGGCUCUUUGCCUGGUGUGUGAUGCUGUGGAAGUUAAGGAAGGUGAUUUUUCCUUUACAUUGGAGUCGGUGAGAAUUCUCCAGCAGCUGGCUGAGCAACCGAAGACACAAAACCCUCGGCUGGCCAAGACGAGCUACUAUUCUGUGUGUUCCAAUCCAAGCCUGCCACAAGAGUUUGUUCCCUUGUGCAUGCAGAGAGGAGCUACAAUGUCCUUUGCUAGGCUAGCAUCUGUGCCUGUGGACGUCUGUGAAAUAUGUGCUUUCGCGGCUUGCACCGGCUGCUAAUUCCUCCCGUCCUCCCCCUCGCCUUCAUUAAAGGAAAUCUGCAUAUUUUCAAUCAUUGCCAUAAGUUCACAGAGUUGACCAUAUGAACAUUUGAAUAUUGCCUCAAAGGCAAUCUAAAAAUGGCAGCAGACGGUUGAUGAACUGUUACUUUAACACCCUUCCCCUCUUUUCCUUUCCCAUGUUUUUUUGUUACAGCACAUAUUUCAUUUAUUUAAAAAAGUGUCUUUUUAUUUUUCUAUUUCUCUGGGUUGUGUACUCCUGUGUGUGUGUGGUGAUGCCUCAGUGUUCAAUAAAAUGCAUCAAAUCUGA
rnacentral:lncRNA from 1 species